CUGGUCUCUUUCGCUCGCACCCUCGCGUUGCGGCGCCUCGCCAUGGUCGACCGAUGUGGGGUCCCUCCACCUUCGCUAUCCCUGACCACGACCUCGAGUGGCGGCGCCACCGCUUCUCUCUGUGUGCCCCUCCGCCGCUGCGUCGCCGGUAUCUCGCUGAAAGGCGCGUCGAGCUUGCCAGAUCGGCCCUGCCGCCGCGAAUCCACUUCGUCCCUAUGUUGAUUCUGAGCUGACCUUGAGGCGAUCGCGGAUGAUUGGAUUGAGGGGGCUCUCUUGAGGCAACACCGAGAUGACGGUCUGCUGCAACUCGGCGGCAAUGACAACGCGCGACAGUUAGCCGGUGAUUUGAGUGAGGGGGCUCUCACGCGGAGAUGUCGACGGGCUGCAAGUCAGGGACAAUGGGUAUGUAGCAGUAGAGGCAGCCCAUCUUCCUUCCUCCGCUUAUGCGCGCAGGUGCUUUGGCCAUUGGUCUCCACAAAUUCUUGAGAAUUCAUGUUGCCUCUUGCGACCCCCUCUGCUGUAUAGUAUCACACCAUUGAGCUGCCCUCUGGUUCCUAAGUAUCCAGAAAAGAAUGCAUAUCUUGCUUAAGGAUGAUGGUUCCCUUCAUUGAUUGCAUAACUGCUGGUAUUUGUACUAAAGGUUGGACAUCAAAGGAAGUUCUGAUGGGCAAGAGGUGCCUUUAAUGGUUGAAGUUCCAAUUUAUACAACAAGAUGGUGUGUGUGUGUGUGUGUGUGUGUGUGUGUGUGUGAAAGCUAGAGAUGGAAAUAGAUCUGUUGGUUCAACAAGUGAUGAAUAGAGCAGUCACUCCCAUAGGUACUUUUUUUGCGAGAAUCCCAUAGGUACUGUUGUUUGAUUGAAUAUACUUAUAUGCAUUUCUAAUUAAUUUAACUUAUUUAUUGGAAUAGGUUUCCACAAUUCAAUAUCUACUAAGAUUGAUCAUUUGCUUUAGAGUUAGUGCACUGGACAUGUUAUUGGGAUUAUUUCAGCAGAAGGUAUCUGGACUUCUGUUGCACUCGAGGGAUUGGUUAGGGUCAUUGUUAGGAGUGAGCAUUUAUCCAUUAGCUAAAAGAGUAAGAGCCACAUGUUGAUCUACCCAGCUAGAAGUUAUCAUCUAGGUAAAGCUAAAGUACGAGCCAUGCAGCAGUCAAUAUUGCAUGAACAAAUCAUUCUCUGCAUUGAGCGAUGUUAUUGCUACCUUUGCCUUAAAAAAUUGCCCAUAUCCCCUACAGGCAGUCUUAUUGCGUUCCUCCAAGAAUGAUGAAUCACAUAUAGGGAGAUAAGGCAGUGGAUAUAUAGAUCACAAAUGAUGUACCUUGAGUUUAUUUAGUUGUUACAUUUGAUUGCAAGUUAGUAACUUCAUAAUUAUUCAAUGUUACUCUGUUGGAGGAGAAAUGUGUUGACGCUAAUGAAAACGCGAUCCGAUGAAAUACUGAGUUUAUGAUCUCUAGACACGAUCUAAUACUCUUAAUUGAUUUCAAUGUUUUCCUACCAUAUAAAAACGCUAAACCAUUUGGAUUCUAGGUGUCUUAUCACACCAUGCAGCUUUAGA